rnacentral:tRNA from 1 species
GGAGGCGUGCCAGAGCGGUUGAAUGGGACGCACUCGAAAUGCGUUAUACUGGUCAAACAGUAUCGGAGGUUCGAAUCCUCUCGCCUCCUCAA